rnacentral:rRNA from 1 species
AUUGAACGCUGGCGGAAUGCUUUACACAUGCAAGUCGAACGGCAGCACGGGGCAACCUGGUGGCGAGUGGCGAACGGGUGAGUAAUACAUCGGAACGUGCCCAAUCGUGGGGGGAUAACGUAGCGAAAGUUACGCUAAUACCGCAUACGAUCUACGGAUGAAAGCGGGGGAUCGCAAGACCUCGCGCGAAUGGAGCGGCCGAUGUCAGAUUAGGUAGUUGGUGGGGUAAAGGCUCACCAAGCCAACGAUCUGUAGCUGGUCUGAGAGGACGACCAGCCACACUGGAACUGAGACACGGUCCAGACUCCUACGGGAGGCAGCAGUGGGGAAUUUUGGACAAUGGGCGCAAGCCUGAUCCAGCCAUUCCGCGUGCAGGAUGAAGGCCUC